AUCACUUCUCGGCCCUUUGACUAAGAUCAAGUGUACUAUCUGGUCUUACCAGUUUAAAGUACUAAUUUAAAGCUCCCCUGGGGCGCCUGGGUGGCGCAGUCGGUUAAGCGUCCGACUUCAGCCAGGUCACGAUCUCGCGGUCCGUGAGUUCGAGCCCCGCGUCAGGCUCUGGGCUGAUGGCUCAGAGCCU